CUCGCCUCCCCUCCCCUCCCGGUGCCCGGGGACACGCGGGCCCAGCUCCAGCCCGCAGCCCAGACCCCACGCGCUCUGCGGCUCCCGCCCUAGCCCUGGGGGCUCGGCUCCAGCCGAAUAAUGUAUUCGCUCUGCAACCUUCUGGGAUGUCUCGUCUUUUUUUAUUUGGUUUAGUUUUGUUGUUGUUGUGUGUGCGUGUGAUUAAAAAAAAAAAAAAUCUGUGCCUUUCCCACCCUUUGCAAAAGACUUUCUUUUCCUUUGCCACAGCAAACGGAGAUGAGAAACAGAUGUCUUUGCAGGACCAAGCAGUUACUCUCCCCUCGCCGCCCGCCCCCGCCGGCUCCCCUCCUGAGCUGCAUAUGUAAGAAAAAGCAACCUUGGUCCUGCUGCAACUUGAAUUGGCAACCCUUCCUCUGGGUGGGGAUCCUCCAGAGAAAACCUCCAGGAAAUAAAAAUGAUCCUCCGACUGUGAAAAACCAAACCUCUGGCUGCCUGGCUCCCUAGGAAUCCAGGACCUGCACAGACUGAAAAUCAGGGAGGGAAGGAACAAGAUCAAGGAUGAGGAUUAGCAUCUGCAAAUUGAACUCUAUCUAAUUUGCAUGUUUAUUUCUUAGAAUUGUAAUUAAAUUUGUGUAAUAAAUGUUUUCCAUUUCAUUUGUACACUUAAAAUCUGGGUGACUGACAUGCAGUUAAGUGAAUUUCCUUUUUUUUUUUUUUAAAGCAAAUGCAGUUUAUUCAAUAAAGCAGCAAACAAAUAUUAAACAUAAUUAGAACUAAUCUGUUCCGAAGGUGUUUUUGUUGAACUUUGUACAUUAAAGACUCUCAGAGGUUUUGAGGGUAUUAGGAAGCUGAGAGACGGCAAUUAUGCUGAAAACAGACGAACCCAACAGCCUACCAGGAGCUUUAUUCCAUUUUUUCCAAAAGACAUUCCAGGGUUGCAUGCCUAAAAUUGGGAAUUGGGCAUCCAUCUUGGCUGUAUUCUGAACCAUAUUAAAUUGCAUUGGCUCAUGCUCCAUGUAGGUCAUUAUGAUGACAAUUUAAGAAUUGUAAAGAUGCCAUUUUGUAUAAUCAAUGGGAGUUGCAUGCGUCCAGAUUAAGGGUAGAAUAUAAUUUUCAUUUGAGUGGGGGAGCAGAGUAAGGACAGGCAAAGGGCAUUUAAAGCAGUUAAACUACUUAAAAAUCUAAAUCAGUAUCUAAAACUGGUUAUUGUCUAAGUCAAAUAAAGAACUAAAUGUGAGGGCUUGGAGGCAUGGCUUAUUAUGGUUUUUAUCUCCCUAUAUUAAAGUUUUAUAGCAUUUAAAGGACUAUGGGGAAAUCCCCACAUACACUUGGCUGUGUCAAAAUGCAUAAAACCAAAAGGAGCAAAUUAAGCAUAAAAUUGAGAAAUAACAUGAGACUAAGUAUCAGCAUGGGUGCAUUGGCAUCUUUGGAGCUUUGGCUCUGACAAAUGAGCCUUCUGGGAAAUUGGCAUUGCCCUUGGGUGGAGAAGACUCUUGGCUUUAAUGUUACAACAAAAUGACAUCACAACACGAAUCUCAAAUCAUUGUACCUCACAGCACACUUGCAGUUCUGAGUGUAACCUCAACCCUGUCCUGUUCGGAUCCAUUAGGUUAGCAUAUUUUACUGACAGCUUUCCCUGCCCUACUUUUAAUCCCAAGCUUAAUGUUUUCUGAGAUUCAGUGCCCAACUGUUGACAACGUGAACCUGUGUCUACAAGUAGAAAAGGCAGUCAAAGGUCUAUGGAAUGAGAAAUAUCAUUUAAAAAUUUAAAGGAAGGGGUGGCUAUGGCAUGAGAAAAGAACUGACUAUAAAUCAACAAUGAAAUAUUUGAAAUAAGUGAAUGUUAUUUAUAAUGAGGUACAAUAUUCAACUGAGAGCAAUGAUGUCAUCGUUUUGGGGGGUGUGUGUGUGUGUGUGUAUGAGAGACAGAGAGAGAGAAGUUCCAAGAUAGAAGUUUGGUUGUAAAACUUAAAAUACUUUGAGCUGCAAAUUUACUGAAGGCAGAGAUUGUUUUUCUUCAGUUAACAAAGAGAGUGCCAGACUUAAAACUGCUGAAACCCAUUUCACGAAACCUUUUUCUCAUUAGAUAGGGAGAUUUCACAAGUAAAAUUUGACUUCUUCAGAUUGCUGUGGACACCAUGCCCAUGUGGAUUAAUAAAAAGUCUGAAUUACUGGCUUUUUGAAAAAAAAAUGCAAGCUUUUUAUAGCAAAAGAAGGCAUCGACACUCAGUCUCCCCAGUUCCUCUUCUCCUGAUCUCAAACCUUUCUUUAUUAGACUUUCUUAUUCCAUUACUCCAUUGAAACCCCAUUCCAGCCCAUGUCACCAGUGACUUCCACAUUGC
rnacentral:lncRNA from 1 species